GAUGAACGCUGGCGGCGUGCCUAAUACAUGCAAGUCGAGCGAACGGACGAGAAGCUUGCUUCUCUAAUGUUAGCGGCGGACGGGUGAGUAACACGUGGAUAACCUACCUAUAAGACUGGGAUAACUUCGGGAAACCGUAGCUAAUACCGGAUAAUAUUUUGAACCGCAUGGUUCAAAAGUGAAAGACGGUCUUGCUGUCACUUAUAGAUGGAUCCGCGCUGCAUUAGCUAGUUGGUAAGGUAACGGCUUACCAAGGCAACGAUGCAUAGCCGACCUGAGAGGGUGAUCGGCCACACUGGAACUGAGACACGGUCCAGACCCCUACGGGAGGCAGCAGUAGGGAAUCUUCCGCAAUGGGCGAAAGCCUGACGGAGCAACGCCGCGUGAGUGAUGAAGGUCUUCGGAUCGUAAAACUCUGUUAUUAGGGAAGAACAUAUGUGUAAGUAACUGUGCACAUCUUGACGGUACCUAAUCAGAAAGCCACGGCUAACUACGUG
rnacentral:rRNA from 1 species